UACGUAGGGGGCAAGCGUUGUUCGGAAUUACUGGGCGUAAAGGGCGCGUAGGCGGCAGGCCAAGUCGGGAGUGAAAGCCCGGGGCUCAGCCCCGGAAUGUCUUUCGAAACUGGCCAGCUGGAGUGCGGAAGAGGCAACUGGAAUUCCCAGUGUAGCGGUGAAAUGCGUAGAUAUUGGGAAGAACACCUGAGGCGAAGGCGGGUUGCUGGGCCGACACUGACGCUGAGGCGCGAAAGCCAGGGGAGCAAACGGG
rnacentral:rRNA from 1 species